UACGAAGGGUGCUAGCGUUGUUCGGAAUUACUGGGCGUAAAGCGCGCGUAGGCGGCGAUAUAAGUCAGAGGUGAAAGCCCAGGGCUCAACCCUGGAAUUGCCUUUGAAACUAUAUCGCUAGAAUCUCGGAGGGGUUGGCGGAAUUCCUAAUGUAGCAGUGAAAUGCGUAGAUAUUAGGAGGAACACCGGUGGCGAAGGCGGCCAACUGGACGAGUAUUGACGCUGAGGCGCGAAAGCGUGGGGAUCAAACAGG
rnacentral:rRNA from 1 species